AGUAGGGUAGCUGUGUCAAAUGGUAGAUCCAUUCCAAGUUUUCUGAGGAAUCUCCAUACUGCUUUCCAGAGUGGUUGCACCAAUUUGCAGUCCCACCAGCAAU
rnacentral:pre_miRNA from 1 species